UGGCAGCAUGAUUUGUUUUAUUUAUUAUUUGAUGUGUCAACUCUCCACCAAUCAUUAAAGUAAGCAAAAAUAAAUAAAAAAAAAGAACGCAAACAACUUACAGUGACUUUUCAAUGAGAAAUCAAUGAAUGAUGUAUUGUUCUCAUUGUCCUUCUAAGCUUCAACUCCCAGAUAGAAUUUCAGGAAAGCUGUGUUGCCUGGUGAGAUGAAGGAGAAAUGACAGAUGGCAGCUCGCUGCACAGUACAAGAAGUCUUACAAGACUCUUCAGCCACCACAUGAAAAAUCUGGCUGCCCUGAGGCUGCCAUGUG
rnacentral:lncRNA from 1 species